GACGAACGCUGGCGGCGUGCUUAACACAUGCAAGUCGAACGGAAAGGCCCUGCUUUUGUGGGGUGCUCGAGUGGCGAACGGGUGAGUAACACGUGAGUAACCUGCCCUUGACUUUGGGAUAACUUCAGGAAACUGGGGCUAAUACCGGAUAGGAGCUCCUGCUGCAUGGUGGGGGUUGGAAAGUUUCGGCGGUUGGGGAUGGAUUCGCGGCUUAUCAGCUUGUUGGUGGGGUAGUGGCUUACCAAGGCUUUGACGGGUAGCCGGCCUGAGAGGGUGACCGGCCACAUUGGGACUGAGAUACGGCCCAGACUCCUCCGGGAGGCAGCAGUGGGGAAUAUUGCACAAUGGGCGGAAGCCUGAUGCAGCAACGCCGCGUGCGGGAUGACGGCCUUCGGGUUGUAAACCGCUUUCGCCUGUGACGAAGCGUGAGUGACGGUAAUGGGUAAAGAAGCACCGGCUAACUACGUG
rnacentral:rRNA from 1 species